UACGUAGGGACCAAGCGUUGUUCGGAUUUACUGGGCGUAAAGCGCGCGUAGGCGGUUUGGUAAGUCGGAUGUGAAAACCAGAGGCUCAACCCUGGGAUGCCGAUCGAUACUGCCGGACUAGAGUCCGGAAGAGGCGAGUGGAAUUCCCGGUGUAGCGGUGAAAUGCGCAGAUAUCAGGAGGAACACCAAUGCGAAGGCAGCACCGUCGGUCGGGUAACGGUCG
rnacentral:rRNA from 1 species